rnacentral:rRNA from 1 species
UACGUAGGGGGCAAGCGUUGUCCGGAUUUAUUGGGCGUAAAGAGCGUGUAGGCGGCCUGAAAGGUCAGCUGUGAAAACUCGAGGCUCAACCUCGAGACGUCGGUUGAAACCAUCUGGCUAGAGUCCGGAAGAGGAGUGUGGAAUUCCCGGUGUAGCGGUGAAAUGCGCAGAUAUCGGGAAGAACACCCGUGGCGAAGGCGGCACUCUGGGACGGUACUGACGCUGAGGCGCGAAGGCGUGGGGAGCGAACGGG